GUUCAAGUAAGAAAACCAGUGAGGCCUGGAGUGCAAUGGCUGCGAACAGCAGCCUCCUGGGCAGUUGGAGGCACCUGUUGCUUGUCUGGGCUGCCCAAGGGGACCUGGGAGACAGUC
rnacentral:snoRNA from 1 species